rnacentral:piRNA from 1 species
GUAGCACCUGACACGUGGGCC